rnacentral:rRNA from 1 species
UACGUAGGGUGCAAGCGUUGUCCGGAAUUAUUGGGCGUAAAGAGCUCGUAGGCGGUCUGUCACGUCGGCUGUGAAAACCCGGGGCUCAACCCCGGGCCUGCAGUCGAUACGGGCAGACUAGAGUGCGGUAGGGGAGACUGGAAUUCCUGGUGUAGCGGUGAAAUGCGCAGAUAUCAGGAGGAACACCGGUGGCGAAGGCGGGUCUCUGGACAUUUCCUGACGCUGAGGCACGAAAGCCAGGGGAGCAAACGGG